UGACACUCUUCUCGUUUUGGUAAAUUCAUCAGAAUCCAUUUCGGCGCAACUGGCAACUGGCAAAGUGCUGAUAUUGAGACAUAUCUGCUGGAGAAGUCAAGAGUGACAUACCAGCUUUCUGAUGAAAGAGGCUAUCACAUCUUCUUCCAGAUGAUGACCGGCCACAUACCUGAGCUGAUUGAUUUAGCACUCAUCACAACAACCCCUAUGACUUCCCCAUGUGUAGCAUGGGUCAGAUCACUGUGGCCAGCAUUGAUGACAAAGCUGAGCUGGAAGCC